GUGCUCACUUCGGCAGCAAAUAUACUAACGUUGGAAUGAUACAAAGAAGAUUAGCAUGGCUCCUGAGCAAGGAUUAUAUGCAAAUUCAUGAAGUAUUCCAUAUUUUU